UACAGAGGUCCCGAGCGUUGUUCGGAUUCAUUGGGCGUAAAGGGUGCGUAGGCGGCUUCCUAAGUUUGAUGUGAAAUCCUGGGGCUCAACCCUGGAACUGCAUUGAAUACUGGGAGGCUAGAGUACUGGAGAGGAAACUGGAAGUUACGGUGUAGCAGUGAAAUGCGUAGAGAUCGUAAGGAAGACCAGUGGCGAAGGCGAGUUUCUGGACAGUUACUGACGCUGAGGCACGAAGGCCAGGGGAGCAAACGGG
rnacentral:rRNA from 1 species